rnacentral:rRNA from 1 species
CCUACGGGUGGCAGCAGUGGGGAAUAUUGCGCAUUGGGCGAAAGCCUGACGCAGCGACGCCGCGUGAGGGAUGAAGGUCCUCGGAUCGUAAACCUCUGUCAGCAGGGAAGAACGGUCACUGUGCUAAUCAGCAGUGAAUUGACGUUACCUGCAAAGGAAGCACCGGCUAAAUCCGUGCCAGCAGCCGCGGUAAUACGGGGGGGGCGUGCGUUAAUCGGAAUUAUUGGGCGUAAAGCGCUCGUAGGCGGUAGGUCAAGUCAAGGGUGAAAUCCCCGCGCUCAACGUGGGAAGUGCCGUUGAAACUGGGAAACUGGAGUGUGUGAGAGGAUAGUGGAAUUCCAGGUGUAGGAGUGAAAUCCGUAGAUAUCUGGAAGAACAUCAGUGGCGAAGGCGACUAUCUGGCACAUAACUGACGCUGAGGAGCGAAAGCGUGGGUAGCAAACAGGAUUAGAUACCCGGGUAGUC